CAGCUCACUAGUCGAGAGGUCUAGCGCCGAAAAUGUCCGGGGCUAAAACACACCACCGAAGCUACGGAAUUACCUAUGGUAAUUGGUAGAGGAGCAUUCUGUAAGGAUGAAGCACAAUUGAAAGAGAGUGUGGACGAAACAGAAGAGAGAAUGCCGGAAUGAGUAGCGAGAUAUAUGUGAGAAUCAUAUAGGUCGAAUGUCUAAGGUUUCCUGGGUAAAGCUGAUCUGCUCAGGGUAAGUCGGGACCUAAGGUGAGGGCGAGAGCCGUAAUCGAUGGACAACAGGUAGAAAUUCCUGUACUACGUAUAAUCAGAACUGUGGGGACGCAGGAGGAUAGGAAAACCGGAGAAUGGAAAAAUCCGGCUAAGUACAAAGGUGUGAGUGAUAGGCAAAUCCGUCACUAUUAGCUGAAGUACGAAUGGGAGCGAAGAAAAGUAGCGAAGUUUCUGAAUCCACACUGUCAAGAAAAGCCGCUAUUGCGUUAUACGUACCCGUACCGCAAACCGACACAGGUAGACGAGGAGAAAAUCCACAGACCGACGGGAGAAGUGUUGUUAAGGAACUCGGCAAAAUGACCCCGUAACUUAGGGAUAAGGGGAGCCAACGCAAGUUGGUCACAGAAAAGAGGCUCAAGCGACUGUUUAGCAAAAACAUAGGUCUAUGCGAAACCGUAAGGUGAUGUAUAUGGGCUGACACCUGCCCGGUGCUGGAAGGUCAAAAGGAGAGGUUAGCGCAAGCGAAGCCUUGAAUUCAAGCCCCAGUAAACGGCGGCCGUAACUAUAACGGUCCUAAGGUAGCGAAAUUCCUUGUCAGGUAAGUUCUGACCCGCACGAAAGGUGUAACGAUUUGAGCACUGUCUCGACAACACGCCCGGUGAAAUUGAAGAACCAGUGAAGAUACUGGUUACCCGCAACAGGACGGAAAGACCCCAUGGAGCUUUACUGCAGCUUAAUAUUGGGAUUCGGUAUUGUAUGUACAGGAUAGGAGGGAGACUAAGAAGCUAGCACGCCAGUGUUGGUGGAGUCGAUGGUGGGAUACCUCUCUUAUAAUACUGAAUUUCUAACCUACUUCCGUGAUCCGGAAGAGGGACAUUGUUAGGCGGGCAGUUUGACUGGGGCGGUCGCCUCCGAAAGAGUAACGGAGGCGCUCAAAGGUCUUCUCAGAAUGAUUGGAAACCAUUCAAAGAGUGUAAAGGCAAAAGAAGGCUUGACUGCGAGAGUGACAACUCGAGCAGGUACGAAAGUAGGACUUAGUGAUCCGGUGGUAACAAGUGGGAGUGCCAUCGCUCAACGGAUAAAAGCUACCCUGGGGAUAACAG
rnacentral:rRNA from 1 species